rnacentral:rRNA from 1 species
AUAAUGGGUCAGCGACUUAUAUUCUGUAGCAAGGUUAACCGAAUAGGGGAGCCGAAGGGAAACCGAGUCUUAACUGGGCGUUAAGUUGCAGGGUAUAGACCCGAAACCCGGUGAUCUAGCCAUGGGCAGGUUGAAGGUUGGGUAACACUAACUGGAGGACCGAACCGACUAAUGUUGAAAAAUUAGCGGAUGACUUGUGGCUGGGGGUGAAAGGCCAAUCAAACCGGGAGAUAGCUGGUUCUCCCCGAAAGCUAUUUAGGUAGCGCCUCGUGAAUUCAUCUCCGGGGGUAGAGCACUGUUUCGGCAAGGGGGUCAUCCCGACUUACCAACCCGAUGCAAACUGCGAAUACCGGAGAAUGUUAUCACGGGAGACACACGGCGGGUGCUAACGUCCGUCGUGAAGAGGGAAACAACCCAGACCGCCAGCUAAGGUCCCAAAGUCAUGGUUAAGUGGGAAACGAUGUGGGAAGGCCCAGACAGCCAGGAUGUUGGCUUAGAAGCAGCCAUCAUUUAAAGAAAGCGUAAUAGCUCACUGGUCGAGUCGGCCUGCGCGGAAGAUGUAACGGGGCUAAACCAUGCACCGAAGCUGCGGCAGCGACGCUUAUGCGUUGUUGGGUAGGGGAGCGUUCUGUAAGCCUGUGAAGGUGUGCUGUGAGGCAUGCUGGAGGUAUCAGAAGUGCGAAUGCUGACAUAAGUAACGAUAAAGCGGGUGAAAAGCCCGCUCGCCGGAAGACCAAGGGUUCCUGUCCAACGUUAAUCGGGGCAGGGUGAGUCGACCCCUAAGGCGAGGCCGAAAGGCGUAGUCGAUGGGAAACAGGUUAAUAUUCCUGUACU